rnacentral:rRNA from 1 species
CAACGCCGUGGGUGGCCAAACUGCGACCGUUGCCCGCUUUGCAACCAAGUUCAAGAAUCCGCGGCACACCUCCUGUUCAAGUGUCGCUUCUCCAUCCGAGUUUGGAAGGAGGUUCUUGCAUGGCUGCACCUUGAGGUUGACAUCGCCCUUUGGAUGAACUAUGCCACUGUGAGAUCUUGGUGGGAGGAGGUCCUCGCCAACAACGCGCAACCACGGAAAGCCUUGGCCUCAAUCCUCCAUCUUGUUAGCUGGGAGAUUUGGAAGGAGCGAAAUGCACGCGUGUUCAGGACCAAGGCGGCACCGGUCGCAGUGAUCGUGCAGAUGAUUAAGGAGGAGGCUUCUAUCUGGGCUCUUGCAGGAGCCAGGCAUUUGCGUAACUUGAUGCCGCGAGAGUAG